UGUCGCAUGGCAUUUGUAUUAAACGCUCCGGCGCCAUAGGAUGGACCCGCGUCCCAUUAGCUAGUUGGUGAGAUAACAGCUCACCAAGGCCACGAUGGGUAACCGGUCUGAGAGGGCGAACGGUCACACUGGAACUGAGACACGGUCCAGACUCCUACGGGAGGCAGCAGUGGGGAAUAUUGCGCAAUGGGGGCAACCCUGACGCAGCAAUACCGCGUGAGUGAAGAAGGUUUUCGGAUCGUAAAGCUCUGUUAUUGGGGAAGAAAAAAAGACGGUACCCAAGAAGAAAGUUCGGGCUAACUACGUGCCAGCAGCCGCGGUAAUACGUAGGGAACAAGCGUUGUCCGGAUUUACUGGGCGUAAAGGGCACGCAGGCGGUUUUUUAAGUCAGAUGUGAAAGGCCACAGCUCAACUGUGGACAUGCAUUUGAAACUGAAAGACUUGAGUAUUGGAGAGGCAAGUGGAAUUCCUAGUGUAGCGGUGAAAUGCGUAGAUAUUAGGAGGAACACCGGUGGCGAAGGCGGCUUGCUGGACAAAUA
rnacentral:rRNA from 1 species